rnacentral:rRNA from 1 species
UCAGGUGCUUGCACCUGAUGAGAGUGGCGAACGGGUGAGUAACACGUAGUUGAUCUGCCUUUCAGUUGGGGAUAGCCUAUGGAGACAUAGGGUAAUACCGAAUACUUUCUUUACCUUUUGGGGUUUGGAGGAAAGAUCCGUUUGGAUCGCUGAGAGAUGAGACUGCGGCUGAUUAGCUUGUUGGUGGGGUAAAGGCCUACCAAGGCGACGAUCAGUAGCCGGCCUGAGAGGGUGACCGGCCACACUGGGACUGAGACACGGCCCAGACUCC